GGACAGCGGGGACACCGGGACUGCUGGGACACCGGGAUACUGCUCGUCAUCCAGAGAGAAGAAGCACCCAGGAAAAACUGCGUGGCUGGAUGCAGCCCCUUUGGAGACAUCUAGGUGCUGGAUGAGCAGGGAGCAAAGCCAAGCUUAGAAAUCCCUGUAGUGCCUGGAGCUGGGACCAGCUGUGCUCAAGCACUGGCCAAGGUAAACCCAGCUGUGUCUUCUCCAA